rnacentral:rRNA from 1 species
GAAGCUACCGUGUGCCGGAUUAUGACUGAACGCCUCUAAGUCAGAAUCCAAGCUAGCAUGCGACGCCUGCGCCCGCCGCCCGCCCCGACCCACGUUAGGGGCGCUUGCGCCCCCAAGGGCCCGUGCCAUUGGCUAAGCCGGUCCGGCCGAAGUGCCGCGGUCGGCCGCCUCGAAGCUCCCUUCCCAACGGGCGGUGGGCUGAAUCCUUUGCAGACGACUUAAAUACGCGACGGGGCAUUGUAAGUGGCAGAGUGGCCUUGCUGCCACGAUCCACUGAGAUCCAGCCCCAUGUCGCACGGAUUCGUCCCUCCCCCACAACUUUCCUUCACCAAGUAAGGUUCGAAGAUGCCAUCAAAAUCUGCACCGCAAAAUCAUGAGG